GAUUCUGGCUCAGGAUGAACGCUAGCUACAGGCUUAACACAUGCAAGGUCGAGGGGCAGCAUGAUCUUAGCUUGCUAAGAUUGAUGGCGACCGGCGCACGGGUGAGUAACGCGUAUCCAACCUUCCCUGUACUAGGGGAUAGCCCGGCGAAAGUCGGAUUAAUACCCUAUGUUUUCCGAAGCGAGCAUUCAAUUUGGAACAAAGGUUUACCGGUAUAGGAUGGGGAUGCGUCUGAUUAGAUAGUAGGCGGGGUAACGGCCCACCUAGUCGACGAUCAGUAGGGGUUCUGAGAGGAAGGUCCCCCACAUUGGAACUGAGACACGGUCCAAACUCCUACGGGAGGCAGCAGUGAGGAAUAUUGGUCAAUGGGCGAGAGCCUGAACCAGCCAAGUAGCGUGCAGGAUGACGGCCCUAUGGGUUGUAAACUGCUUUUAUAUAGGGAUAAAGUGAGGGACGUGUCCCUUAUUGUAGGUACUAUAUGAAUAAGGACCGGCUAAUUCCGUGCCAGCAGCCGC
rnacentral:rRNA from 1 species